GUGCCAGCAGCCGCGGUAAUACGUAGGGGGCGAGCGUUGUCCGGAUUUAUUGGGCGUAAAGAGCGCGUAGGCGGCCAGGUAGGUCCGACGUGAAAUCUCGAGGCUCAACCUCGAGCGGUCGUUGGAUACCGCCUGGCUAGAGUCCGGAAGAGGAGAGUGGAAUUCCUGGUGUAGCGGUGAAAUGCGCAGAUAUCAGGAAGAACACCCAUGGCGAAAGCAGCUCUCUGGGACGGUACUGACGCUGAGGCGCGAAAGCGUGGGGAGCGAACAGGAUUAGAAACCCCAGUAGUCC
rnacentral:rRNA from 1 species